UACGUAGGGUGCAAGCGUUAAUCGGAAUUAUUGGGCGUAAAGCGCGUGUAGGCGGCUCGAUAAGUCUGCUGUGAAAGUCCAGGGCUCAACCCUGGGAUGCCGGUGGAUACUGUCGAGCUCGAGUCCGGAAGAGGCGAGUGGAAUUCCUGGUGUAGCGGUGAAAUGCGCAGAUAUCAGGAGGAACACCAAUGGCGAAGGCAGCUCGCUGGGACGUGACUGACGCUGAGACGCGAAAGCGUGGGGAGCAAACAGG
rnacentral:rRNA from 1 species